CUGAUGGAUGGACCCGCGGUGCAUUAGCUAGUUGGUGAGGUAACGGCUCACCAAGGCCACGAUGCAUAGCCGACCUGAGAGGGUGAUCGGCCACAUUGGGACUGAGACACGGCCCAAACUCCUACGGGAGGCAGCAGUAGGGAAUCUUCGGCAAUGGACGAAAGUCUGACCGAGCAACGCCGCGUGAGUGAAGAAGGUUUUCGGAUCGUAAAACUCUGUUGUUAGAGAAGAACAAGGAUGAGAGUAACUGUUCAUCCCUUGACGGUAUCUAACCAGAAAGCCACGGCUAACUACGUGCCAGCAGCCGCGGUAAUACGUAGGUGGCAAGCGUUGUCCGGAUUUAUUGGGCGUAAAGCGAGCGCAGGCGGUUUCUUAAGUCUGAUGUGAAAGCCCCCGGCUCAACCGGGGAGGGUCAUUGGAAACUGGGAGACUUGAGUGCAGAAGAGGAGAGUGGAAUUCCAUGUGUAGCGGUGAAAUGCGUAGAUAUAUGGAGGAACACCAGUGGCGAAGGCGGCUCUCUGGUCUGUAACUGACGCUGAGGCUCGAAAGCGUGGGGAGCAAACAGGAUUAGAUACCCUGGUAGUCCACGCCGUAAACGAUGAGUGCUAAGUGUUGGAGGGUUUCCGCCCUUCAGUGCUGCAGCUAACGCAUUAAGCACUCCGCCUGGGGAGUACGACCGCAAGGUUGAAACUCAAAGGAAUUGACGGGGGCCCGCACAAGCGGUGGAGCAUGUGGUUUAAUUCGAAGCAACGCGAAGAACCUUACCAGGUCUUGACAUCCUUUGACCACUCUAGAGAUAGAGCUUCCCCUUCGGGGGCAAAGUGACAGGUGGUGCAUGGUUGUCGUCAGCUCGUGUCGUGAGAUGUUGGGUUAAGUCCCGCAACGAGCGCAACCCUUAUUGUUAGUUGCCAUCAUUCAGUUGGGCACUCUAGCAAGACUGCCGGUGACAAACCGGAGGAAGGUGGGGAUGACGUCAAAUCAUCAUGCCCCUUAUGACCUGGGCUACACACGUGCUACAAUGGGAAGUACAACGAGUUGCGAAGUCGCGAGGCUAAGCUAAUCUCUUAAAGCUUCUCUCAGUUCGGAUUGCAGGCUGCAACUCGCCUGCAUGAAGCCGGAAUCGCUAGUAAUCGCGGAUCAGCACGCCGCGGUGAAUACGUUCCCGGGCCUUGUACACACCGCCCGUCACACCACGAGAGUUUGUAACACCCGAAGUCGGUGAGGUAACCUUUUUGGAGCCAGCCGCCUAAGGUGGGAUAGAUGAUUGGGGUGAAGUCGUAACAAGGUAGCCGUAUCGGAAGGUGCGGCUGGAUCACCU
rnacentral:rRNA from 1 species